rnacentral:rRNA from 1 species
GACGAACGCUGGCGGCGUGCCUGACACAUGCAAGUCGAGCGAUGAAGUUCCUUCGGGAAUGGAUUAGCGGCGGACGGGUGAGUAACACGUGGGUAACCUGCCUCAUAGAGGGGAAUAGCCUUUCGAAAGGAAGAUUAAUACCGCAUAAGAUUGUAGUGCCGCAUGGUACAGCAAUUAAAGGAGUAAUCCGCUAUGAGAUGGACCCGCGUCGCAUUAGCUAGUUGGUGAGGUAACGGCUCACCAAGGCGACGAUGCGUAGCCGACCUGAGAGGGUGAUCGGCCACAUUGGGACUGAGACACGGCCCAGACUCCUACGGGAGGCAGCAGUGGGGAAUAUUGCACAAUGGGGGUAACCCUGAUGCAGCAACGCCGCGUGAGUGAUGACGGUCUUCGGAUUGUAAAACUCUGUCUUCAGGGACGAUAAUGACGGUACCUGAGGAGGAAGCCACGGCUAACUACGUGCCAGCAGCCGCCGUAA